GAAAAUCAUAUUUGGUACAGAAAUGACUUAACUUCCUGUAUCCUAAUUAACAUGCAAUAGAUUUUUUUCUUCAGAAUUAGUGACGUUUACAGAAAUAGCAAAAUCGAAAACACUUCACGAAUAAGAUAUAUUGAAACCGGGUAUGAUAGAAAUGAAAAUCUUACACUAAUUAACAGUAAAGCAGCGCCGAUAAACGUGAAACAUUAUAUAAGCCAAAUUUGGUAAUGGCGGGGGUGUUGUUCGAAGAUAUUUUCGAUGUGAAGGAUAUUGAUCCAGAAGGCAAGAAGUUUGAUCGAGUGUCCAGACUUUUUUGUGAGUCUGAGUCCUUCAAAAUGGACUUGAUCCUAGAUAUCAAUACACAGAUGUACCCUGUUGAUUUGGGUGACAAAUUCCGUAUGGUUUUAGCCAAGACACUGAGGGAAGAUGGAACCCCAGAUGAUGGUGAAUAUAACCCUACAGACACUGGUCCCUCCAGAGCAGACAGUUUUGAGUACGUAAUGCAUGGGAAAGUAUACCGCAUUGAGGGGGAUGACACUGGACCGGACUCCAGUCGACUGUAAGUGGUGGCACAGUGUGUUGUGUGUGGUUUCUUUUCCUAUCUCUUGGUGCUUUUAAGGAAAACUUAGUACGUGUUAAAUACAGAACACCUGGAAGAUUGCCAUAGGCUUAACCUGUGAUGCAGAUUUUGACAGUAUUUUUCACGUCGCUAUAGUUUUUCUUUUUGUAGAAUACCCGUAGAAUUUUCUGUCUUUAGUUUGCUUCUUACAUGUAAAUUGUCAGCAUGUGCACAGAUAAAUAAUUCUAAUGGUAUGUGUGAGUGUGUGUACUUGAAUGCAUGCAAUUCCGGGUAAGUCAGUACUCGGUACAUGUAGUUACUAGGAUGUGUGCUACUAACAUGUUGCCUUGAGUUUUACACAUACUGAAACACAGAACUUGUACUUGUAUUGCAGAAAACAGAUUUUGGGAAAUGUGUAGCAAUAGAGUUCAAACAAAAGAUAACAUAAAAUGAAAGUUUUUCAUGCUGUGAACAAACAGAAAGAAAAGUCUCCAUGGUAAUUCAUUGCAUGCAACAACCUGCAAUUGAGAUUCUUGCUAAAUUUUUUGCUGCAAGACUGUACUUGUAUGUGGUACUUUAAUAAAUAUUGACCCAGUAAGUUCAGAGGUCGAUUUGGUGUAAUGAAAGAAUGUUGAAUCUUUUAAACACAGUUUAGAAUAACUGAAUUAAAAGUCUUGUUAUUGUAGUGAUGAAAUCACAAGUAGCUUUAAAUGUGGGAAUUACGAAAUUUUGCAUUAUAGAAAUUUUUACGUGUGGUUUAGAAGAGUGGAUAUACAUAUUUAAAGAGAAUCUAUAAAUAUGCAUGCAUGGUUUGUAAAAGGACCUGUUCCAAUAGAAAGAAAAAAUCGAUUUGUAAAGCCUGUUAAACAAUUGAUUGGAUUGAACUGCCAAGUCAGGACUUGAAUGAACACUUUGUGGGAAAUACGUACUUUAACGCAUGCUCAAAUUGCUGGCAGAUAUCGAACGCUAAAUGGGGGCAUACCAUCGCCACCAACCUUAGAGAUUUAUUUCUUCCUUUAGCUAUUCAUUUUGGACUUUCUCAUUGCUAAGUUUAUUCAUAGUCUGUUAGCAAAUUUAGGAUAUAGACAGUAUUCAUACAUGAACACACAACUGUUGAACAGGUAGAUAAGGACCCACAUUCACCGUAGUGUCCAACAUGUUCUAUGAAGUAUGCACACUGUCUUUAUCUUGUGAUGGUUCAGAAUUGAAAGGUAAGCAAGUAUGUGGGGAGUAUAACCCGGGUUAAAGUGAACCUAGAAAGGAAUGUGAAGGGAAGUUGUGAUAAAUGUUUUAUGUCCAUGAGGAACUCACACUACACAUGUGCAGUGUAUGUAUCAGGUGUGUCCCUCACACACUGUAGGUAGAAGGUGCCCUUCUUUAUUUAGGAACAAUAAAUUUCUAGAAAAACAUGUCAAAAUUCCUGAAUAUAUUUUUUUUUAAAAAUUCUGAAGUAGACCCUAUUUAUAGAGAGGGAAAACUCUUGACUAAAAAUACACACCAAGGUAACCACAAUACGUAAAGUUCAUUAUGCAAAAUGUACAUAACGUAUGUUCAUUGAAUAUGUUGGCUGGUAAAUAUGUAUUGUUAGGUUGUAAGUAAUAAAUCUUAGCUCUGGACAGUUUCCAUUAUACCUCUUUACCCAACAAAAAGAGGCUCAUGAACUUGGAGCAUAGUUGUACUGUGUUUAUAAAUUGUGCUGAUGUAACCUUUUUACUGUUUUAAGCCACUGAGUGGAUAUUAUGGAUGUGUGCCUUUAUUGAUGUCUAACUGUGGUUAUGGAUCAGUAAUUCAGAUAAGUUUGGCAGUGUGUAAUGUUUUGAAGAUGCUGAGUUUCAAAGUAAAAUGUUUUCGUCAUCAGAAGCCUAGAGAGAUGCUGUGUCUGUUGUGGGGAUUACUUGACAAGUCCAGGGGACGAUGACCUACGGAUGAUCCUGUAUGCAUGAUUGGAAAGAGAAAGUGGGCAGCGUAUGUGUCAUAUGGAGGCCUGCUUAUGAGACUGCAAGGUGAUGCCAACAAUCUACAUGGUUUUGAAGUUGAUUCCUUUGUUUAUCUUCUUAUAAAGAAGCUUGCUUUCUAAAA